GGGCUGGUAGCUCAGUUGGUAGAGCAGCGGACUUUUAAUCCGUUGGUCCCGGGUUCGAAUCCCGGCCAGCCCACCA
rnacentral:tRNA from 2 species